AGCCACUGCUAUGGGGGUCCGACUAAGCCAUGCGAGUCAUGGGGCGCGCUCUGCGCGCACCGGCGGACGGCUCAGUAACACGUCGGUAACCUACCCUCGGGAGGGGGAUAACCCCGGGAAACUGGGGCUAAUCCCCCACAGGCCUGAGGUACUGGAAGGUCCUCAGGCCGAAAGGGGCAUCUGCCCGCCCGAGGAUGGGCCGGCGGCCGAUUAGGUAGUUGGUGGGGUAACGGCCCACCAAGCCGAAGAUCGGUACGGGCCAUGAGAGUGGGAGCCCGGAGAUGGACACUGAGACACGGGUCCAGGCCCUACGGGGCGCAGCAGGCGCGAAACCUCCGCAAUGCGGGCAACCGCGACGGGGGGACCCCCAGUGCCGUGGCAUAGCCACGGCUUUUCCGGAGUGUAAAAAGCUCCGGGAAUAAGGGCUGGGCAAGGCCGGUGGCAGCCGCCGCGGUAAUACCGGCGGCCCGAGUGGUGGCCGCUAUUAUUGGGCCUAAAGCGUCCGUAGCCGGGCCCGUAAGUCCCUGGCGAAAUCCCACGGCUCAACCGUGGGGCUUGCUGGGGAUACUGCGGGCCUUGGGACCGGGAGAGGCCGGGGGUACCCCUGGAGUAGGGGUGAAAUCCCAUAAUCCCAGGGGGACCGCCAGUGGCGAAGGCGCCCGGCUGGAACGGGUCCGACGGUGAGGGACGAAGGCCAGGGGAGCGAACCGGAUUAGAUACCCGGGUAGUCCUGGCUGUAAAGGAUGCGGGCUAGGUGUCGGGCGAGCUUCGAGCUCGCCCGGUGCCGGAGGGAAGCCGUUAAGCCCGCCGCCUGGGGAGUACGGCCGCAAGGCUGAAACUUAAAGGAAUUGGCGGGGGAGCACUACAAGGGGUGGAGCGUGCGGUUU
rnacentral:rRNA from 1 species